rnacentral:rRNA from 1 species
UACCAGGCACCCGAGUGGUCGGGACGAUUAUUGGGCCUAAAGCAUCCGUAGCCGGCCUUACAAGUCCUCCGUUAAAUCCAGCUGCUUAACAGAUGGCUGCGGAGGAUACUAUAAGACUAGGAGGCAGGAGAGGCAAGCGGUACUCAGUGGGUAGGGGUAAAAUCCGUUGAUCCAUUGAAGACCACCAGUGGCGAAGGCGGCUU